CACAUGCAAGUCGAACGAGAAAGUGGAGCAAUCCAUGAGUAAAGUGGCGACCGGGUGAGUAACACGUGACUAACCUACCCUCGAGUGGGGAAUAACUCCGGGAAACCGGGGCUAAUACCGCAUAACAUCGCAAGAUCAAAGCAGCAAUGCGCUUGAGGAGGGGGUCGCGGCUGAUUAGCUAGUUGGCGGGGUAACGGCCCACCAAGGCGAAGAUCGGUAUCCGGCCUGAGAGGGCGCACGGACACACUGGAACUGAAACACGGUCCAGACUCCUACGGGAGGCAGCAGUGGGGAAUUUUGCGCAAUGGGGGAAACCCUGACGCAGCAACGCCGCGUGGAGGAUGAAGCCCUUUGGGGCGUAAACUCCUUUCGACUCGGACGAUAAUGACGGUACGAGUGGAAGAAGCACCGGCUAACUCUGUGCCAGCAGCCGCGGUAAUACAGAGGGUGCGAGCGUUGUUCGGAAUUAUUGGGCGUAAAGGGCGCGUAGGCGGUGCGGUAAGUCACCUGUGAAAUCUCCUGGCUUAACUGGGAGCCUGCAGGCGAAACU
rnacentral:rRNA from 1 species